rnacentral:rRNA from 1 species
UGGGGAAUCUUGCGCAAUGCGCGAAAGCGUGACGCAGCAACGCCGCGUGGGGGAAGAAGGCCUUCGGGUUGUAAACCCCUUUCAGUUGGGACGAAGCUUCGAGGGUUAAUAGCCCUCUGGAGUGACGGUACCUUCAGAAGAAGCCCCGGCUAACUACGUGCCAGCAGCCGCGGUAAUACGUAGGGGGCUAGCGUUGUCCGGAAUCAUUGGGCGUAAAGCGCGUGUAGGCGGUCCGGUAAGUCCGCUGUGAAAGUCGGGGGCUCAACCCUCGGAUGCCGGUGGAUACUGUCGGGCUUGAGUACGGAAGAGGCGAGUGGAAUUCCUGGUGUAGCGGUGAAAUGCGCAGAUAUCAGGAGGAACACCAAUUGCGAAGGCAGCUCGCUGGGACGUUACUGACGCUGAGACGCGAAAGCGUGGGGAGCAAACA